ensembl:snRNA U2 U2 spliceosomal RNA
AAAACUUUGUGCAUUAAAGAAUGCUAUCAAGAAAGUGAGAAGACCACCCACAAAGUGGAAGAAAACAUUUGAAACCAUAUAUCUUAGGAGAUGGAGUAGGAGCUUGCUCCGUCCACUCCACGCAUUGACCUGGUAUUACAGUAUUUCCAGGAACGGUGCACCCUCU